AUACGUAGGGUGCGAGCGUUAAUCGGAAUUACUGGGCGUAAAGCGUGCGCAGGCGGCUUUAUAAGCCAGAUGUGAAAUCCCCGGGCUCAACCUGGGAACUGCAUUUGUGACUGCAUAGCUAGAGUACGGCAGAGGGGGAUGGAAUUCCGCGUGUAGCAGUGAAAUGCGUAGAUAUGCGGAGGAACACCGAUGGCGAAGGCAAUCCCCUGGGCCUGUACUGACGCUCAUGCACGAAAGCGUGGGGAGCAAACAGGAUUAGAAACCCUAGUAGUCC
rnacentral:rRNA from 1 species